rnacentral:tRNA from 1 species
GGACAGGUGGGUGAGUUGGCUGAAACCACAUCCCUGCUAAGGAUGCGUACUGGUAACGGUACCGAGGGUUCGAAUCCCUCCCUGUCCGCCA